UUUUUGACCAGAGUAUCUUCUUGUUUGUAUCUGCAACUAUAUCAGCUCCUACAGAAAUCUACUUAGCUCUCAUUUUUGAGGCAGAGAGUAAAGCGGGUGAAUACUUAUACAGAAGAACUCUAAAUAUACCUUAACGCUGCCCAGAGUUAUCUUCCAUAUUUAAUCUACUAUGUGCCACCUUCUUCGGAAUUCAUUCUUUCAGCGUCUGAGAUUUUCCUGAGGGGCACAAAUUCAUUAUUGGUAGCUGGUACACUAGAUGCAUCGCUCACCAUCCAGGAACUGACAUGAUAAAGCUUCAAAGAAUCAGGCUUAACCAUAAAGUAACUGGUGCUUUAUGAGAGCGGAAGGGCGAUCUCUGGCAAAGCCAUUUCUGCAGGCUCUUAAAACCCGUGAUCCUUUUC
rnacentral:lncRNA from 1 species